rnacentral:rRNA from 1 species
GAUGGACGCUGGCGGCGUGCCUAAUACAUGCCAGUCGAGCGAACAGAUAAGGAGCUUGCUCCUUUGAAGUUAGCGGCGGACGGGUGAGUAACACGUGGGUAACCUACCUAUAAGACUGGGAUAACUUCGGGAAACCGGAGCUAAUACCGGAUAACAUUUAGAACCGCAUGGUUCUAAAGUGAAAGAUGGUUUUGCUAUCACUUAUAGAUGGACCCGCGCCGUAUUAGCUAGUUGGUAAGGUAACGGCUUACCAAGGCGACGAUACGUAGCCGACCUGAGAGGGUGAUCGGCCACACUGGAACUGAGACACGGUCCAGACUCCUACGGGAGGCAGCAGUAGGGAAUCUUCCGCAAUGGGCGAAAGCCUGACGGAGCAACGCCGCGUGAGUGAUGAAGGGUUUCGGCUCGUAAAACUCUGUUAUUAGGGAAGAACAAAUGUGUAAGUAACUGUGCACAUCUUGACGGUACCUAAUCAGAAAGCCACGGCUAACUACGUG